CAGUACUCACUUGAGCACAUCCCAAAAGAAUAACAUUUCAAAUGUAACUAGAAAAAAGUAUGCUGAAGUUCGCAAUACAGAAAUAAUUAUUAAUAAGAUAGCUUUAAAGCCCUGCUCAGCUUUUGAAUGUUGGGAAUUGACCCAGAGGUGGCUGUAACCUAAGAUGGUUCCUUCAGUAAUGACCAUUUUUUCUUUUUCAAGAUGAUGAUUAUUCCCCACCUUCUAAGAGACAAAGACCAACGAGCCGCCACAGCCACCAGUCCCAGAACCCGCCAAUGCUGGGGAACGGAAAAUGAGGGAGUUCAACUCUGGCCCUCACAAUCCAGUGGAGGAGACGCAACUCAUCUGCCUCUGUCCCUCUGGGCACGCCUCGUGCCAGGUGCAUCUGUGGACAGGGGCCAUGCUCCUGGGCUUCCAAAGUUGGAGAAAGCUGCCAGGCUCAGGUCUGAAGGCCAGAAUUCUACAGUAAGUCCUACUGAGUCAAGGUGGGAGCAGGGUCGGUAGCUUCCGAGGCUCUGCGGGAGAAUCUGUUUCCUGGCCGUAGAGGUGGCCUGCACUCCUCAGCCUGUGCUGCCCGUCUCGAAUGACUGGAGUUUCCUGCUUCUGUCACUACACCUCCCACCCUCUCCAUCACCUGCUCUGCUCUUACAAGGAUCCGAAGAAAUGGAAUCAUCGUAUCGCUGAUCUACGUAAACAAACUGAAGAAUUGUCUGAAAGAAAAUAUGGUAUGUCUAAACUGGAAAAGUCUUGUAAUCUUAUGUUCAUGGGCGUUUACACAGUGGAGUUACUGUUCAUCAUGGGGGUACCGUGGACAAGCCCAGGGCUGCCGG
rnacentral:lncRNA from 1 species